rnacentral:rRNA from 1 species
UUGCCAGACUCCUACGGGAGGCAGCAGUGGGGAAUAUUGCACAAUGGGGGAAACCCUGAUGCAGCGACGCCGCGUGAAGGAAGAAGUAUUUCGGUCUGUAAACUUCUAUCAGCAGGGAAGAAAAUGACGGUACCUGACUAAGAAGCCCCGGCUAACUACGUGCCAGCAGCCGCGGUAAUACGUAGGGGGCAAGCGUUAUCCGGAUUUACUGGGUGUAAAGGGAGCGUAGGCGGUGAUGCAAGUCAGAAGUGAAAGCCCGCAGCUCAACUGCGGGACUGCUUUUGAAACUGCCGGGCUGGAGUGCAGGAGAGGUAAGCGGAAUUCCUAGUGUAGCGGUGAAAUGCGUAGAUAUUAGGAGGAACACCAGUGGCGAAGGCGGCUUACUGGACUGUAACUGACGUUGAGGCUCGAAAGCGUGGGGAGCAAACAGGAUUAGAUACCCUCGUA